rnacentral:rRNA from 1 species
UACAGAGGUCUCAAGCGUUGUUCGGAAUCACUGGGCGUAAAGGGUGCGUAGGUGGCGUGGUAAGUCAGAUGUGAAAGCCCGGGGCUCAACCUCGGAAUUGCAUCCGAUACUGCCGUGCUAGAGUACUGAAAGAGGUGACUAGAAUUCUCGGUGUAGCAGUGAAAUGCGUAGAUAUCGAGAGGAAUACCAACGCGAAGGCAGGUCACUGGGCAGUUACUGACACUGAGGCACG